CAAUAGCGUAUAUUAAAGUUGUUGCGGUUAAAAGCUCGUAGUUGAAGUUCUGCUCAGGCUGACCGGUCCGUCCUCUGGACAGGCAUCUGGCUCAGCCUUGGCAUCUGGCUCAGCCUUGGCACUUGACUGUGUGGUGCGGUAUUUAGGACAUUUACUUUGAGGAAUAAUAAGAUAGGACCUCGGUUCUAUUUUGUUGGCUUCUAGAGCUGAGGUGAUGACUCAUAGGGAUAGUUGGGGGCAUUUGCAUUUAAUUGUCAGAGGUGAAAUUCUUGGAUUUGCUAAAGACGGACUGCUGCGAACGCAUUUGCCAAGGAUGUUUUCAUUGA
rnacentral:rRNA from 1 species